CUACCAGACUCCUACGGGAGGCAGCAGUGAGGAAUAUUGGUCAAUGGCCGAGAGGCUGAACCAGCCAAGUCGCGUGAGGGAAGACGGCCCUACGGGUUGUAAACCUCUUUUGUCGGGGAGCAAAGAGAGUCACGUGUGACUCAUUGAGAGUACCCGAAGAAAAAGCAUCGGCUAACUCCGUGCCAGCAGCCGCGGUAAUACGGAGGAUGCGAGCGUUAUCCGGAUUUAUUGGGUUUAAAGGGUGCGUAGGCGGACUGUUAAGUCAGCGGUAAAAGCCCGGGGCUCAACCCCGUCGUGCCGUUGAAACUGGCGUUCUUGAGUGAGCGAGAAGUAUGCGGAAUGCGUGGUGUAGCGGUGAAAUGCAUAGAUAUCACGCAGAACUCCGAUUGCGAAGGCAGCAUGCCGGCUCCACACUGACGCUGAGGCACGAAAGCGUGGGUAUCGAACAGGAUUAGAUACCCCAGUA
rnacentral:rRNA from 1 species